CAUUACAUUUCAACGAGGACCACAAAAUCUGCAGGAAAUGGACUGACCACGGAUGGGAUUUAUGUCAUGUGACGAUGCAUUUCCAUGAUAAUUCUAAGAUUCCAUGUGGACGUGCUUUAGAUAAUACUACACGCUGUCACUAAUGGAUACAGGUGCUCAUCGGUUUGGCAGUUGAGCAGCAGCGACAUCAAUUUCUACUAACCUGGUGUGUGCUGGGAAGACAUUCAGCACUUUUAAGAAGAGAUAAACGGUAUCCUUAGCACCGUGUGGGGACAUGGAACCAGAAGCUGAAGAAGCAGAGGAGACAACGUUAGAGUCUGAGAUGUUUGUAAAGACAGUUUGUGACAAACAGGAGGUGAAGAGUGAAGAACCUAUUUGGCAGCCUUGGCAGGUGUUUGAAGAACCAAUCAUGGAGCUGCAGAGAAAGAAUAUCACAGAAAAAGAGGGUCAGAAGAAAUCAGCAGAAGACAACAAGAAUGAAGAAGGAAGUGAGACGAAAAAUGAAAUGGUUAAUAAAGUGGCAGAAGAGAUGAAGUGUGCUGAAAACUUAAGCAACAUGGCAACAGAUGCUAAUGACUCAAGUGGCGACCCAACCAAUGAGCCCAUCUCCUCAAAUUCUCACACCAACCCACCUAAGACCAAUGAAUCAGACAUAGAGCACAGCAGAAAACUGUCAAAGACUCCCAGCUUUGGGAAAACAGUUCGUUUUUUGGAAAUUGAAGCAGUGGAAGAAAGGGACAGCUCAGUGGACUCUCUUUUUCCAGACUUUGAGAUAGAAGAAUGGACCACCACCAGCUUUGAGGAGCUGUUUCUGGCAGAUGACUGGAAGGACAUUGCAGAUGACCGUCUGCUAAGGAAGAAAGUGUUACAGGCCAGUCCCGAGAAUGUCCUGACCCCGGCUUGGGGUCAAGAGGUCACACUGAAAAUGCAGGGUGUGCUGGAGGAUAGGACUGUGGUGGAGAAAGACUGCAAGCUGGUCUUCAUUAUCGGAGAGGGAGAUGUCAACCAGGCCCUGGAAGAGUGCGUCAUUUCAAUGACGAAAGGGGAGAUCGCUUUACUGCUUGCAGAUUCACAAUACACCUACGGACACCUGGGAAGCAUGUGCAGAGACGAGGACCGAAUCCCUGUUGGUCUUGGCACCAAGACUCAAUGAGCCGUGCAAGAGAGGAAAGAGUAUAUUUACCCGGACAUCGAGACAUGUCAUAAAAUUUAAUGAACAAACCCCAGAUGGCCUGGGAUGAACUGGAGUGGAUCACUAACAAGAAUAUCAAGAUGAAAAUGUCUCAUAUAAACUGGUUGCGUUCAUCUUAAAAGCAAAACUCAGUCCCUAAAUGACCCCUAACAAGGCCCAGUGCUCACUAGUGUGAAAUCUAGUGAGCAAAGCAAAUUUGCAGCCAUAGUGGAUAUCUGAGUUUCAACAUAAGGAGAACCAAAGGUCACUGGACACCUUACACAUUAUGGGUUUUUCUGGGAAAAGCUGUAGUUAACCACAUAAAACGCAAAACAAAUCCUACCCAUAUGUCAUGGGGUGGUAAAUUGUGAGUUAGCUUGGAUUUAACGGUAACUUUAACGUGCGGCUCACUCAUAUAGAUUUAAAGCAAUAUUCUAGGUUCAACAGUUAAAGUGAUACUCAACUUAAAAAUGAAAAUACUCUGAUCAUGACGUGCCGGAUUUAUAUGAAUUUCUUUCUUCAGAUGAACACAAAUAGAUUUUUAGAGAGAUAAUCCAUCUUUGCGAGUCUGUAUAAUGCAACUGAAUGGGUCCUUCAAAGUUGACACUUCAAAAACUACGCAAAACAAACAUGACAGUAAUCCAUAUGACCUCAGUUGAAGAAUCAUUGUCUUCUGAAAUGAUAGGCAUGUAAGAAAAAUACAAAUUUUAUAUAUAUGGACCAUAAAAAAAAUAAAAUAAAAAACCUGAGGAAGUCAAUGGUUACCAUCAACUGUUUGGAACUCAAAGAAAUUCAUACAGGGUUGAAACAACUAGGGUGAGUAAAUGAUGACAAUUUUCAUUUUUGGCUGAAAUAUCCCUUUAACUUGUAUUAAACCUAAAAAAAAAAAUCAUUUCAGUUCAAAAGCUGAUUGUUUAAUACAGACAGUUUAUUGUUUUACUGUCAGAAACGUGUUGACUUUGACCUGAAGGAACCUGACAGAUAAUGCCAAAAUCACAGCAUUUGUAUUGAUUCUCCUUGAUUUUUCGUUUAGCUGUUAGCAUAUGCUAACUGAUUGGAUUUUAUACAACUCAGUCAACCAUGAAAUCUCUGACAAAGACGUAAUAUCAUCAUAAUUCAUGGUGAAGUUCUUCCACUCUCACAACUAAACCUGACAUUCCCAUGAAAUACUCUUAAGUCUUUGUUUACCCAAAUUCAUACACUGGCAGAAUGAAAGAAGCAUCAAGAGAGGUGCAAAUAGAUUGAGCCUUUAAGCAAACAUAGUGUGAACUGUGUAGGUGUGUGAAAUGAUGAGAUGUCUCUCCUCUCAUCUGAAUGUCAAAUUGUGUGAUGAGGGUUUUGUGAGUGUACUGUAUGUGCCAUUGAUAAAAUCUUCCGGCUGCACUGACAUAUGACACAUUCCUCGCACAAGCACACUCACUCGUACCCGCGCAGCCAAGUGAUGAGUCUGUUCACAGCAUGGCUUUUAAAUCAACACACACAGUUCUAGGUUCUGGUGACUGUUUGUGAGCCAAGUCUUGAGAAAGAGCCAAAGAAAAGAACUGGCAGUAGCUUCUAUGUAUCUCACUCAGAAAAAAUGACUCUGCAAUUUAAACGGACAGUCAAAAAUCUGCAAGUAUAAAACAUUAGCACAACCACACUUGUGCACCAAGCAAAAAGACACUAUGAAAAUACAUCUAGUAAUACAAUGGCAUACCAAGACAGUUUGGCUAUUAUAAAUCAGCUACUGUAUGUUUGUCAAUCAUACAGAUCCUCACUCUUAAAAAAUAAAGGUUCUUUAUUGGCAUUUAAGGUUCAGUGAAGAACUUUUAAUAACCAUUAAACUUUUCUAUUACACCAAAGAUUCUUUAUUGUAGGGGGGAAAAGUUGUUAAAAGUUGUUCUUUUGUUGUAAAAUGUAUUUUUAAAAUUAUUUUAAGAACUAUUCGGCUCUUUAAAUUAAUAAAAAUGAUUCUUCUAUGGUCAAUAAAAGGAACCUUUAUUUUUCAGAAUGCAUUCAAACUUGUGAAUUUAUUUCAUAAUUGUGACUUUCUCAAUUUCACAACUGCAACUUUCUGAUAUUAUGGUAACACUUUACAACAAUGCAUUAGCUAACAUGAGCUAAUUUGUUCACUAAUGUUAAGAGAUGCACAUUUGAUUUAAAAAAUGUAUUAUUGAUUGUUGAAAUUAAUAUUAAGGGGAUAGUUCACCCUUCCAAAACCAACCAAAUCAAACAAAAGAAAGUAUUUUGAAGAAUGUUGUUAACCAAACAGUUGAUGGUAGCCAUUCAAAAGAAAGUAUUUUGAAGAAUGUUGUUAACCAAACAGUUGAUGGUAGCCAUUGACUUCCAUAGUUUUUUUCUUUCUUUUUUUCUCCAUAGUAUGGAAGUCAGUGGCUACUGUCAACUCUUUGUUUACAUACAUUCUUCAAAAUAUCUUCUUUUGUGUUUAACAGCUUUAAGAAAUGUACACAGGUUUAGAACAACUUGAGAGUAAGUAAAUGUUGACAAUUUUCAUUUUUUGGGUGAACUAUACAAUUAUUAACUGUUGUGAAAGUAUUGUUUAUUGUUAAUUAAUGUUAACUAAUAUUAAGAAAUGAAAUCUUAUUGUAAAGUGUUACCUUGGUGUCUUGCAAUUGCAACUUUUCAUAUCACAGUGACUAUAAAUUAAACAAUUUGAAUUUUUGUUUUAUUUGAAACUUUUUUUUAUUAUUUUUAUUUUUAUUAUGUUUUAUUUUAAACUCUAAGGUGGAACAUACCCAUCUGAAUAUGUAUGUGUAUUAAGUAUUUAAUAAGUGAGCUGUGGGAAUGUGACACUAUUUCACUAAUGCAUCGGAGUGUGUGUGUGUGUGUGUGUGUGUGUGUGCGUGUGUGUGUCAGAAGAAAGAACUUGUGUGGAUGCAUGACUCAUGAUGAGUGACCAAUCACUGCUGACGUGCCAACCCAGCAGACUAAACUCAAUUGUUAUGAAGAGUCUUUUUGUCAUGAGCGGUAGUGUGUGUGUGUGUGUGUGUGUGUGUGUGCGUGUGUGUCAGAGAAAGAACUUGUGUGGAUGCAUGACUCAUGAUGAGUGACCAAUCACUGCUGACGUGCAACCCAGCAGCUAAACUCAAUUGUUAUGAAGAGCUUUUUGUCAUGAGAAUAUUGGCCCAACCUUGAUAUGCAAAUGUGUGUUUCUUUCUUAGCUUGACUAAUUUGCAUCAAUUAGCUUCUACAGUUUGCAAGCAAUGCAUCAGCCAAUCAAGUUUUCCUUCAUGCGUACCCUUCCUAUAUAUCAUAAAGAAACAACCACAAAUAUGAGAUAUGGUUAAAAUACAUGCAAAUAUGAGCGGAAAUGCUGUGAUUCAGGAAACAUUCCCACAGCGGGUUCACGAUAAGAGGUACAGUAUAGCAGUCAUGUGAUUUCAGAGAUUAAGACUGUCAAAUCUCUAGAUGGAACUCUGGUAAGAAAGUGAAUCAGAGCCACUCCCAGCUGUCAUGCUGCAGAGUAAGGCCACACACACACACACACAAGCCAAAAUUCAGGUAGAAAUGUUCAUGCAUGCCUGAAAACACACCCACAAACAGUGAAAUCUGUUUCAUUGAAACUUGGGUGGUCAGUGAAGCACUAAUAAAGUCAUUCACCUUCAAAUUAAUAAGUAUUUACUUACAGCAGUCUGUCCAACAAAUAUAUUUUUUUUUAGCCAAAAAAGAAAAACAAAAUCAUUUUUCCAAAUUUUUCAAGAAUGGUGCAAUCACACACAUUAAUAUGCGUUCCUGUGUGAACUGACUAAUUUACUACUAGGAGUACAGUCAUGCCUGUUCAUCUUGACUAUCAGCAUAAAUUUGUUCUAGCUUGCAACAUAUUCUGGUCUAUAAUUGGCCACCUACACAGGAAAGGUCUGUCUUGCUGACAUGAAAUGUGACCAAUCACUCUUAGUUUAGUUUUAAUAUGCCAAGGCCGAAAAUGCUCAAACACAUCCACAGCAACAUCUGUAUAUAAUAGGCUUUGUAAAACAGAGAAAAUUAGAAAUGAGUGUGUACUUUAUAAUCAGCAUUACCGUCCACCCUAAUGUACAGUAAUAUGUCCAAAUUAUUUUAGCAUUCAAAAGGUUGGUUGGUUGGUUGAUUAUUAAUUGAUUGAUUGGGAAAGAUUCUUUUUUUAUGCUCACUUGGUUGCAUUUAUAUAAUCAAAAUUACAGUAACAUAGUAACAUUUUGAAAUAUUACUACAAUUUACUACAACUCUUUUCUAUUUAAAUAUAUGUUAAACUGUAAUUUAUUCUUUGAUA
rnacentral:lncRNA from 1 species